UACGGGGGGGGCAAGCGUUGUUCGGAAUUACUGGGCGUAAAGGGCUCGUAGGCGGCCAACUAAGUCAUACGUGAAAUCCCUCGGCUUAACCGGGGAACUGCGUCUGAUACUGGAUGGCUUGAGUUCGGGAGAGGGAUGCGGAAUUCCAGGUGUAGCGGUGAAAUGCGUAGAUAUCUGGAGGAACACCGGUGGCGAAGGCGGCAUCCUGGACCGAUACUGACGCUGAUGAGCGAAAGCCAGGGGAGCAAACGGGG
rnacentral:rRNA from 1 species